UUGGGAUGCUGUUGGCCACCAGCGCUGUCCCUUCAAGUCUAGUCAUCCGACCCCACUACAUUCUGUCGGGAAACCAGUCAGCCGACCCCAGCACAUACUUUAGCCCAACCCAGGUAUUCAAAAACUACCUGCUGCUACCAAAGAAGAUUUUUCAUUGAUAGUUUCCCAGCAUUGAGAGCCCUGUCUUUGUGAGCUGUAAGCUUCCUGCUACCACAAUUAAUGCCAGCUGAGUAUUAAAGCAUGUGAGGGAGAGAGGUGACAAAACAGAUCUCCAUGAAGUGAAGAAGGGGAAGCAUAUAAAAUGAUGGCCCCAAAUAUAUGAGGAGGUUCCUAUGAAUCCAAAAGGACCAGGAAAGAUGGACUUCAGAAUGAAGAAAGAAAAAAACUUAGGGUGAGUUAAUGGGCAUCACAAUAGUUGCAUUAGUGCGUGCUAACAGUUAUGUCCCACCUUCCUGCAUCAGUGUUCUUGAUCUUGUAACCAUAAAAAACAACAAAAAUAUGCUUUUUCAUGCUGUGUGCAUUUCCAACCACAGAAGACACUUGGCUAUCGAGGCGAAGAUUUGUCAAAGGCUGAAACGACAAAGCACCAGAGUACUGGUGCUCAGUAUACUUCCCAUGGUCAAAGGCAUCCAUCUUCAGGGAGCAGAGAUGCCAGAGAAAACCUGGUUCAGGAAGCAUAUGAUGCCUGUGUGAGAGCUAGAGAAACUGCUUGCUUGCUGGCUUUGAAAAGAUGACUGUCGCAGGAGAAAUGGGACAGAAAGAAUGAGAUUUGGAACCAGAAGUCCAGCCUGUUUCUGGUGAAACGUCUCUAUUGGUAUCUUCACAUAUCUACCAAAAUACAAAAUGGACAGGCAGGAAGUCAUUUGCAAGCCGUAUGUAAUAUCCAGUCCUGCAAAGAAGUGCAUUCUGGGGGGUUGCUCUACCCACACAGCACUCCACCAUGCAGGCAUGCCUCCGCAUCCUUAUCUUUGCAUAACUCAAGCUUAGACCUCCUACAAGAUCAUCUCCCACCUCUAGUGUGCAUCUGUUCAUUUUCUGCCUGUCAAACCUCUUCAGAAUUUAAAAGUCGUAAGAGAUAGGAGAACAAGCUUUCAAGUUUGAGUGCAUCAGCUCAGGACAGAUUUGAUAAGAAAUGUUUUUUUUUAUUGCUUGACUUUUUUCUUUUUUUUUUUUUUAUUUUAUAAAAUGGAAUUCUCCUUCUGGGUAAGGAACCGUUUCUUGCAACGUAUUGUUCCUGAACAAUAAAAAAAAAAUAUCUAA